rnacentral:tRNA from 1 species
UCCCCAGUGACGCAAUUGGUUAGCGCGCGGUACUUAUAAUGCCGAGGUUGUGAGUUCGAUCCUCACCUGCGCAA